UACGAAGGGUGCAAGCGUUACUCGGAAUUACUGGGCGUAAAGCGUGCGUAGGUGGUUGUUUAAGUCUGUUGUGAAAGCCCUGGGCUCAACCUGGGAAUUGCAGUGGAUACUGGGCGACUAGAGUGUGGUAGAGGGUAGUGGAAUUCCCGGUGUAGCAGUGAAAUGCGUAGAGAUCGGGAGGAACAUCCAUGGCGAAGGCGGCCAUCUGGACCAGCACUGACACUGAGGCACGAAAGCGUGGGGAGCAAACAGG
rnacentral:rRNA from 1 species